rnacentral:rRNA from 1 species
GUUGGGUAGGGGAGCGUUCUGUAAGCCUGCGAAGGUGUACUGUGAGGUAUGCUGGAGGUAUCAGAAGUGCGAAUGCUGACAUAAGUAACGAUAAUGCGGGUGAAAAACCCGCACGCCGGAAGACCAAGGGUUCCUGUCCAACGUUAAUCGGGGCAGGGUGAGUCGACCCCUAAGGCGAGGCUGAAAAGCGUAGUCGAUGGGAAACGGGUUAAUAUUCCCGUACUGGUGGUAACUGCGAUGGGGGAACGGAGAAGGCUAGGUUGUCCGGGCGACGGUCGUCCCGGUUCAAGCAGGUAGGCAGAGUGAUUAGGCAAAUCCGGUCACUUAAUGCUGAGAUGUGAUGACGAGCCACCAAGGUGGUGAAGCAAUUGAUGCCCCGCUUCCAGGAAAAGCCUCUAAGCUUCAGGUUACCAACAAUCGUACCCCAAACCGACACAGGUGGUCAGGUAGAGAAUACUCAGGCGCUUGAGAGAACUCGGGUGAAGGAACUAGGCAAAAUGGUGCCGUAACUUCGGGAGAAGGCACGCUGGCGGUAGGUAAAGUCCCUCGCGGACGGCGCCCAAGCCAGUCGAAGAUACCAGCUGGCUGCAACUGUUUAUUAAAAACACAGCACUGUGCAAACACGAAAGUGGACGUAUACGGUGUGACGCCUGCCCGGUGCUGGAAGGUUAAUUGAUGGGGUCAGCCGCAAGGCGAAGCUCCUGAUCGAAGCCCCAGUAAACGGCGGCCGUAACUAUAACGGUCCUAAGGUAGCGAAAUUCCUUGUCGGGUAAGUUCCGACCUGCACGAAUGGCGUAAUGAUGGCCAGGCUGUCUCCACCCGAGACUCAGUGAAAUUGAACUCGCUGUGAAGAUGCAGUGUACCCGCGGCAAGACGGAAAGACCCCGUGAACCUUUACUAUAGCUUGACACUGAACAUUGAGCCUUGAUGUGUAGGAUAGGUGGGAGGCUUUGAAGUGUGGACGCCAGUCUGCAUGGAGCCAACCUUGAAAUACCACCCUUUAACGUUUGAUGUUCUAACCUAGGCCCGUAAUCCGGGUCGGGGACCGUGUCUGGUGGGUAGUUUGACUGGGGCGGUCUCCUCCUAAAGAGUAACGGAGGAGCACGAAGGUUGGCUAAGCAUGGUCGGACAUCAUGCGGUUAGUGCAAAGGCAUAAGCCAGCUUGACUGCGAGAGUGACGGCUCGAGCAGGUACGAAAGUAGGUCUUAGUGAUCCGGUGGUUCUGAAUGGAAGGGCCAUCGCUCAACGGAUAAAAGGUACUCCGGGGAUAACAGGCUGAUACCGCCCAAGAGUUCAUAUCGACGGCGGUGUUUGGCACCUCGAUGUCGGCUCAUCACAUCCUGGGGCUGAAGUAGGUCCCAAGGGUAUGGCUGUUCGCCAUUUAAAGUGGUACGCGAGCUGGGUUUAGAACGUCGUGAGACAGUUCGGUCCCUAUCUGCCGUGGGCGUUGGAAGAUUGAGAGGGGUUGCUCCUAGUACGAGAGGACCGGAGUGAACGCACCACUGGUGUUCGGGUUGUCAUGCCAAUGGCAUUGCCCGGUAGCUAAGUGCGGAAGAGAUAACCGCUGAAAGCAUCUAAGCGGGAAACUUGCCUCGAGAUGAGUCUUCCCUGUCGCUUAAAGCGACCUAAAGGAACGUUUAAGACGAAGACGUUGAUAGGCUGGGUGUGUAAGCGUAGCGAUACGUUGAGCUAACCAGUACUAAUGAACCGUGAGGCUUAACCUG